rnacentral:lncRNA from 1 species
GCCUGCUUGCCCCUUGUUCCUCCCUUGCUCUUUCCCUGCUUCCCUUUUCCAUUCUCUCCCCAUUCCCGUCCCCCUUCUUUCUCCAUGUGCUCAUGGCUGACCUCUUCCUUUACUCCUCCACUCUCUCUUUCUCUGCCUCUACUACCCUCUUAACUCCCCUCCCCAUGCCCUAAAUCAACUAUUCUAUACUGUACCGUCAUGUGGCUGGUCCCUCAUGGGGAAGGGAUGACUUGGCAUGGGCCUGCUGAGCCUCACCACACUGCCAUAGAACAUUUCCCACCCCUCUUUAUCUUUUCAUAAACACAUCAGUGAGGGUUUCAGAUCCCCUUGAAACUAGAGUUACAGACAGGUGUGAGCUGCCAUGUGGGUAUUGGGAAUUGAAUCUAGGUUCUCUGCCAGUGACUGCUCUUAACUGCUGAGCCAUCUCUUUCUAGCCACAAGUCUGAAGAUUUUGUACAUUAGAUUUUGAUAUAAUUUUUAUCAGGUCGUCAUGUGGAUGUUUCUUGCAUGGUGAUGCCUAUUGGUGACCUGGUUAGGACAGUGGUGUUUCAUAGAUUAAAUUUUAGUCAUGCUUCCUCCUUUUAACUUUCUGGAAUUUUGUGAAAAAGUCGUGUAUAGAAUUUAUCACCCAAUUCAUUCGAUUUCCUUGUGUA